rnacentral:rRNA from 1 species
ACUCCUACGGGAGGCAGCAGUGGGGAAUAUUGCACAAUGGGCGGAAGCCUGAUGCAGCAACGCCGCGUGAGGGAUGACGGCCUUCGGGUUGUAAACCUCUUUUAGCAAGGAAGAAGCGAAAGUGACGGUACUUGCAGAAAAAGCGCCGGCUAACUACGUGCCAGCAGCCGCGGUAAUACGUAGGGCGCAAGCGUUAUCCGGAAUUAUUGGGCGUAAAGAGCUCGUAGGCGGUUUGUCGCGUCUGCUGUGAAAACCGGAGGCUCAACCUCCGGCCUGCAGUGGGUACGGGCAGACUAGAGUGCGGUAGGGGAGAUUGGAAUUCCUGGUGUAGCGGUGGAAAUGCGCAGAUAUCAGGAGGAACACCGAUGGCGAAGGCAGAUCUCUGGGCCGUAACUGACGCUGAGGAGCGAAAGGGUGGGGAGCAAACAGGCUUAGAUACCCUGGUAGCUCGAU